CGGCCUCUUUUGCAUGGUGUACAUGAAAUUCCAGUUGAGUGCCAAUCAAAAUUGGGGUUGCAAAAUCUAAAACCAGCACCCUCAACUCCAAAUGUUUCGCAACAGAAACUGGGAAGUCAGGGUGACAAAGAACACCACCUGCCAUCNNNNCAAUGCCCAAUAGACUGACUGCCACAUUAUCUCCUGCCCUUGCAACAGAACAAGCCUGAGAAUCACGCUCUAGGGAGCGUACAGUCCCUACAUCUGCUGAUGGCAUAACCAAAACUUUUGUUCCGGUCCGAAGAGCUCCAGCCUCUAAUUUACCACAGGCUGACACCUGUCCCAAUGAAGGUGAUUUAAUAACAUCACAUAUGGGCAUAAGCAGAGGUUUUGAGAAAUCUCUUGUAGGAGGUUGAAAAGAAUCAAUUGCAUCCAACAGACAAGGUCCCUUAUACCAGGAUGACAAAUGGACAUCAGAAGGAGCUGAUACUAAAUUUUGAUUUUUCAUGGCACUUAAUGGAAUCCAUGACACUAGGGAAUCCUUAAACCCACAAGAAUGGAGAAAUGUUCCAAGUUGUGCUCUAACCAAUUUAAACCGAUCCUCGGAGUAGUCCACAGCAUCCAUUUUGUUAAUUGCAACUAUAAUUUGAUCAACACCAAAACUUCUAAUGAGUUGUGCAUGCUCUCUCGUUUGGCCCUUCUUGCUGUCCAUACCAGCUUCAAAAGCACCAGUAGAGGCAUCGAUAACAAGAAUUGCAGCAUCAGCUUGUGUUGCCCCAGAUAUCAUGUUUG
rnacentral:misc_RNA from 1 species